UUUGAUUCCCUUCUCACUUCUUUUGUUAAUAUUUUAUACAUAUAUUUUUUGUGCUUACUAUGCAUACUACAUAUAACAUCCUAAGGUUAUAAUAAUGAAAUCAUUUUGAAUUCACAUUGAUUGUUGAUGACACAUAUUACAUCUUUAUACAUUACCUGUUAACAUAGAUUUGUAAUGAUUUUUUAUGCAUUUCUCUGUGUAUCCUGUAGGAAGUAAAAUGUGGAGUUUACAAACCAUAAUGACAGUAAUACUGGUUUUUAUUUUUGCCCAUGUUUAUUUACCUUUAGUAGAAAUUUUUUUAUCUUUGUAUGGCCUCGAGUUAUUGUCUAGUGGCUGUUCAUUUCAACCUGAAGAAUUCUUAGCAUUUCUUGUAGGGCAGGUCUAGUGAUAAGGAUCUCCUUCAGCUUUUGUUUAUCUGGAAGGAUAGUUGCAGGAUAUAUAAUUCUCUGUUUACAGUUGUUUUUUUUUUUUUUUUUUUUUUUUUUUUUUUUUAAGCUCAGUGCUUUAAAUAUUUCAGCCCACUGCUUUCCAGCCUUCAAGGUUUCUGCUGAGAAAUCUGCUUGUAUUCUCAUUGAGGGUCCCUUACAUGUGAUAAAUUGCUCAUCUCUUGCUGCUUUCAAGAUUCUCUCUUUAUCUUUCAAAGGUGUGAUUAUGUGUCUUGGUAUUGGUCUCCAGGUUUAUUCUACUUGUAGUAACUUGAGCUUUUUGGAUUUGUUGGUUCAUGUUUUUCACCAAAUUUGGAAACUUUUGGGCCAUUAUUUCUUCUAAUAAUUUCUUUGCUACUUUUUUUCCUUUUGAGACUCCCUUAAUUUGUAUAUUAGUCCACCUGAUUAUAUCCCAUAUGUCCUUUAGGCUUAGUUCACUUUUUUCCAUUGCUUUCUCUGCUCCUUAGACUUGAUAAUUUCAAAUGUCCAAUCUUCAGGUUCACUGAUUGUUUCUUUUGCUUGUUCAAAUAUGCUGUUGAAUCUCUGAGGUGAAUUUUACAAUUCAGUUAUUAUUUCCACUGUAGAAUUUCUGUUUGGUUCCUUUUUAUAAUUUUGGUCUUUACGUACUCUCAUUUUGUUAAUGCAUUAUUCUCUUUAUUUCCUUUAGUUCUAGUUCUUUGAAUUUUUCUUUAGUACACCUGAUGCCUUUGUUUCUUUAGGAAUGGCUUCUAGAGAUAUAUUUUGUUCUUUUCUGUGGACCAGAUUUUUUUUUGUCUAUUGUAUUCCUUUUGGUAUCUGAUGAAAUUUUUAAAUUUUGAUGGACAUUUGAAAAAACAGUCAUCUGGAUUUUUGGAAUAAAGUAGAUAUGCCCUGAGCCUUCUUAUAAAACCCGAAGUGAAAGGUUAUGGUGUUUCCUGUGUUUUCUGAGCAUGUGUGUUUCUUGGACCUGUGUGGGGAUAUUUUUUUAAUAUUCUGUAUACAUAGCUGCUGUUGAAUGUUUUAGUUUACAAAGAAUCUCACCUCUACUUCUCUUUGUGGUCUCAGAUUGUAUGUUGUUUGGCUCCACCCCUAAUCUCUUGUGCCAGGUUCCUGUGGGCCUGUAGUUUCCCUGUAGCCUCCCUGCAGCUUUCAUGAUCAGUGCCAGCUAUUUUCCCCCAACUGAGGUCUGGCUUAGGUGAGACAGAUACCAGUUAUUUAGUCAGCCCCUGGACAGAUAAGAAUGUUGCCAGUAAUGUCUGGGCUAUUCUCUGUGGUCCAAGGGAAGGAAUAGGGUUCUGGGCUGCCACAUUCUCCAGACCAGAGCUGCUUCACGUUGGGGAGGAGGUGGCUAAAGGCAAGUAAAAAUGCCAUGACAUUUCCUGCUGUUUUGAUUGUGACUUUUUCUUGGUUGGGUGUUUGCUUGGUUGUUGUAGACUUUUGACUAUUUUUUCAGAGCUCUUCUAGUUAGUUUCUGAUUGUUCUUGAAUGUUUUCUGGUUGCAGUGGGCUGGGGAGACAAGGGCUUUUAGAGCUUUUUAGUCUGUAAGUUUGCUCCUUAUUGUUUUAAGGGAAGGUUUUAUUUUCCUUUGGACAUGGGAAAUUUUUGAGCAUGUUUAUAAUAAGCAUACUGAGUGAUUAACAGUUUAAGAGAAAGAAAUGAUACAGAUCCUAGAUGUGAUGGCAUUAAAUAUAUAGAAAAUGUAGCUUUGGAAAGUAUCAAUGAAAAAGAGAAAGGAGCAAAGAUAGAUGAAGAAUAUUUGUGUUAGUGAAGUUAAAGGUUCAGAUUUUCAUAGAAAUAAAGUCAAGUUUAUUUAGAAGUGUGAGAGGUUAGAGGGUUAGGAAGUAUGUGUAGAAUAUGUGUUGUGGGAAAUGUGAUAUGGCCAUCAGCAAUUUUAUGAUUUAUCUUAAUGAGGCAAUAUGUGUGUUCUUGUGUAUCUUCCAUGAGGCAUACAUAUUUUAAGUUCAUUGAUAUUUUGUUAUAACUUAUGAUUUUGGCUUUAUAGUUUAUGAUUUGAUUUUAUCUAUAUAAUACUUAAAUAUAUACUUAUGAUUUGUGUUUUAUCUAUAUAAUAAAUGUCUGUAACUUUAAAACAUCAUGUAUUUUCUGAAAACAUAAUGAAAAAGUAGUAGGGUCUUGCUCAGUCCCCCUUAGCUUCCAUUUCCCAUUCCCCAGAGGUAAUUACUUUCAGUCUCUUGGCUAAUCUUUUGCUCUUUUCUUUUUAUCCAUAUUUCCCAAGUUAUUUGUUAUAUUCUACUUUCUUGACUGUUUUUCAGUUUUAUGUAGUAUUUGUUAGAUCCCUGCCUAUAAUUAAAGGCUAGCAUUUAGAUCAUUUACAUGCUCUUCUCCCUCUCCCUGCUCCCCAAAUCUUUUUAAUAUUAUUUUAUUAUAAUUUUUGUUAAAUCAUUGUUCAUGCUUAGAUUUAAUUCCAUUCCAAUUAUUGUAUACCUCUUCAUUUGAAGUUAACUGUUUUUUGUUUGUUGUGUAAUGACAUGUGUCUUUCAUUAAUUCACUCAAACACUUUGAUUUUAUUCUUAAGAGACCUGUGUACUGGAUGGAAUUCUUCAUAAUCUGGCUUCAAUUUGGCCGGGCUUCUAUCUUGGAAAACAAAACAAAACAAAACAACAAAACA